rnacentral:lncRNA from 1 species
UUGGUGAAAUAGUCCUGCCACUGGACUUAUGAAUGUUAUAUUUGUAUUUAUUCAGGAUAUGGAUUGAUACCUUAUCAAGUUGUCAAAUGAGUAGUGCUCAGAUUUUAAUGUACACAGCACUGUGAUAUUCCAGCUAGUACACUGACCUUUGUACCAUAUACAUGGUAAGCAUUGUGUUCUAUGUUGUUUAUUUGUAAUGUCUGUACUGUCUAUGUUUUAUUCAAGUAAUUGUCUUUUAUGUGAAGUGUAUUUAUGUAAUAUCUUUAUGUUGGUCAGAAUUUGUAUACUUUGUAUACAAAUAUAUUUAUUAAAUGGACAACUCAUUAAUAGAUUUGAGAUGUAUAUUAUUAUUAAUUAUUAUGAGAUACAUAUGAAUAUUGUAUUGGAAAGUUAACCAAAGAGUUAGAUUUGAGUGCUUUUAGGACUUAUUUCAGUAAAUAGAUAUCUAAAGGAAUAAAUAUGAAUUGUAGUUUUUCCCCUUGCCCAUAUGUUAUAUUGUACUGUCUUGUCAUGUGAAUAUUUAUUAUUUGUUUAUUAUAAUGUUGUAGGGUCUUAAAUAUUUGUGUAUUAAAAGAACAGAACCCUAGAAUAGUUUUCGUUGUAUUUGACCAGAAAAUACCCCGUUACAUUUGGCGCCCAACUUUGUGGCAGAGUCAUAUUUGAUUGAUAUAUCAAAUAUGAUAUUGAUGAUAUUAAUUUUAUUGGAGUGUUUGAUAGUUUGGUUACUUAUUGUUUCUAUUUCUAGCACUAUUGUUCUAGUAUCAUUCUCUUUUCCCUUUGGUGAACCUCUUUUCUUUCAUAUCAUUUUGGAGGGAAAAUUCUAACCUUUUGAUUGGUCAAUCUUUAGGCCAAAGGUCUUACUAUAUGUUUUCAUUGUUUCUGGUAGAUUUAUACUGCAGACAUAUUGGAAUGUAGUGAAAAUUACCUGCUUGUUAUAUUCAAUUCUGACAUUGAUGAUAUUUGUAUUAUAUAUUUCUUGGGAUUCUACAUAUUCUUAUAUUCAGGUCAGUUGAUUAACCUUAUUUCUAAUUAACAAACUAAUAGUAUGUCAUUUUAAUACUUUGUGAAAGGAUUGAUUGUAUGUAUUGAAUGGAGGAAUAUUUGGAGUAUGAAAGAGUAAAAGAUUAAAUCAUUUUAUAAAAACACAGAGUCAUAUUAAACAUUUUAAUAUAAAACAUUCUAGUACUUUAAAUAUUAUAAAGUUACAAUAAAAGUGAAAGACAGAUAAAUUUGGAAUUUGAAUAAUACAGAACUCUGAAACUACAUAUUUUAGAUGUAGUUGUAUAUUUUAUUUAAUUGGUGAAAUAGUCCUGCCACUGGACUUAUGAAUGUUAUAUUGUAUUUAUUCAGAUAUGGAUUGUACCUUAUCAAGUUGUCAAAUGAGUAGUGCUUCAGAUUUUAAUGUACACACACUGUGAUAUUCCAGCUAGUACACUGACCUUUGUACCAUAUACAUGGUAAGCAUUGUGUUCUAUGUUGUUUAUUUGUAAUGUCUGUACUGUCUAUGUUUUAUUCAAGUAAUUGUCUAUUUAUGUGAAGUGUAGUUUAUGUAAUAUCUUUAUGUUGGUCAGAAUUUGUAUACUUUGUAUACAAAUAUAUUUAUUAAAUGGACAACUCAUUAAUAGAUUUGAGAUGUAUAUUAUUAUUAAUUAUUAUGAGAUACAUAUGAAUAUUGUAUUGGAAAGUUAACCAAAGAGUUAGAUUUGAGUGCUUUUAGGACUUAUUUCAGUAAAUAGAUAUCUAAAGGAAUAAAUAUGAAUUGUAGUUAUUCCCCUUUGCCCAUAUGUUAUAUGUACUGUCUUGUCAUGUGAAUAUUUAUUAUUUGUUAUUAUAUGUUGUAGGGUCUUAAAUAUUUGUGUAUUAAAAGAACAGAACCCUAGAAUAGUUUUCGUUGUAUUUGACCAGAAAAUACCCCGUUACAUUUGGCGCCCAACGUGAUUUACCAUUUGGAGCCUCACAGAAGCUGUGACCUGGAAUGAACCGUGAACCGGAAGUGAUUGUUUCACACAUGGAAAGAUGAGAAAAACAAAGACAGUUUCAUAAUAUUGUUGUGAACUUUUAUGCUUUUGCAUUGUGUAUUUAGUAUUUGUGAUUGAAAGACAUACUUAAUUGGUGAGAAUAUAUAUCCCCCUACAUAAUUGUGUUUACAUAGUACACAUUGAGUGAAAGUACAUGUAGUAAAAACUUGAAACAUAAUCAGCUGUUGAAAUCCAAAAUUGAAAACUGCAUUUGUAAACAUAGCAUUUGCUUGUUUACUGUAUUAUACCAGUAUAUUUGGUUGACUUGACAUUUCAUUGAGCAAUAUAUAGUAAGAUAAUUGGACUUAUACAGUAAGCUCACAGAAUUUCAUUUUUUUGUUUGCAUGUUUAUUGUUCUUUGACUUGUUGAUAUUCAACAUAGUAUUAGGCAGUGAAAUAGAAAGCUGAUACAUACUUUGUUGUCGUUUACAGUCAAGCAACGCAUUUCAUAGUACAUUGUGUGUAUAUCUUGUGUUUGUAUUGCAUGUUUGUAUUUGUGUUUAACAUUGUGUUGUUCUUGUGUUGUGUAAAUUAAUUUUGUGUAUCGUAUUAUUCUACUUUUAUAUCAUUGUGUGACCUUGACAUUAGUGUACUUUGUGUCUCAGUACAGGUGUACUUGAAUAUAGGUUGACUGUUUACAUAGAAUUUAUUUAUUUAUUUAUUUUUAUUUUUAUUUUAUUUAAACUUAAACUUUGUUUGAUAAAUAGGGAUUUGAUUAGGUUAGGCACUUAGUAUAAUUGUGUGUAUGUGUCUGUGAUUGGUUGUUUGUACUUUGAGAAUGUGAUACCUACCUUUUACGUUACUUACAGCUUAGAUACUAAUCCCUUUUCAUACUUUACUGUUUGGU